AGGUUUCCCGAGACGGUGGUCCAUCACCGGGGCUGACCCUGGCCUUUCUUCCCCGAGGCCAGGUGCGGUUCCGGUGAAGGAACCUCCGUCCCGGGGAGGGAAAUA
rfam:Pseudopropionibacterium propionicum F0230a chromosome, complete genome.